GACCCCAGGUCAGGCGGGGUUACCCGCUGAGUUUAAG
rnacentral:rRNA from 2 species